rnacentral:rRNA from 1 species
UCCGUAGGGGGCAAGCGUUGUCCGGAAUCAUUGGGCGUAAAGCACGUGUAGGCGGCUCGGUAAGUCCGCUCUGAAAGUCCAGGGCUCAACCCUGGGAUGCGGGUGGAUACUGCCGGGCUCGAGUCCGGAAGAGGCGAGUGGAAUUCCCGGUGUAGCGGUGAAAUGCGCAGAUAUCGGGAGGAACACCAAUGGCGAAGGCAGCUCGCUGGGACGUGACUGACGCUGAGACGCGAAAGCGUGGGGAGCGAACCGG